rnacentral:lncRNA from 1 species
ACUAGGCUCACCCGGCACAUGGAGAGGCCUGUUUCAUCCGAUGAGGAGUCCUGGGGUAGGGGAGGUGUGUGAAAGUGUGUGAAAGAGAUGGUCUCGGGAGAGGCCAACGCGGGGAGUGACGAGGGGAGGCACAGAUCCCUUAGUGCGGGUUGUGUUCCGAGGCCAGUGUGGGGGAAACCAGACCUAGAACGUUGUAUACGGCUGAUAGGACCAGGUCCACCGCUGCAGCAGGCUGUGAGAGGGGAAGGCACGUUCCUGGCUAAGCAGCGUCCAAAACUCCCGUAAUAGGACCCAGUCUGGUGGACCCGAGAGUAAAAGUGAGAGUGAAAGUGCGCCGCAAGGGAGGAAAUGGGAGGAAAAGCGUCGAAACCAACUCCUUUGGAGUGCAUGAUAAAAAAAUUUUUAAAAAGGAUUUAGAGGUGAUUAUGGGAUGAAACUGGAUGCUCAAAAUUUAAGGACAUACUGUGAAUUAGAAUAGCCCUCUUUUAGUGUUGGACGACUGGCCGAAGGCACUACAGAGAAAUUGGCCGUGUGUUUUAAGGUGGUGACUAGGGUUGGAGGACCACCAGGGCAUUCAGACCUAGUCUUUGUAUUGAUUCAUGGCUAAAUGAAUGCAGCCCUGCCUAGCAGUUUAUUGUAGAACGCUCGCAGCUCAUGGCGAGAGACACCAGCUGUGCUGGCAGCUACAGAGUUAAAGGGAAAGUCACAGAGCCUUGUAACUCCACAAGUAAAAAGUGAAAAGUAAAAGCCAAAAGUGAAAGUAAAAAUCAGCUGUGCCAGGAACUAUGGAGACAAAAGAAAAGUCUCAGGAAAGAGAAAACUGGUUUUGCAAGAACCACAGAAGGGAAUAAAGACCCCUCCUCCCUACAUUCCAAUCUACCCCCCUUUACCAAGGCUAACUGCCCCUAAGGAGUUAAGUUCAAAGAAAUACAGGCUCCCAGAAGAAAAAAUCAGAGCUCCAGGAAGUUAAAGUGAAAGGUUACAAAAAAGUCAGGCAGGCCGUCUCAGGUCUGGCCGUGCCCAAGUUAUGCUUAUGCCUCUUAAGAGGACAAAAGGACCCCCACUAGGACCCAGAUGAUGCAGUCCAGCUUCAACCCCUACAAAAUUGCCGAGAAGCACUUCUGCCAAAGGCUAAAGGAUGGUAAAAGAAAAAGGUAACCAAUAUAUAUAUAUAUAUAAAAAAAAUCUCAGAGGUGCUCCAGGGUGCAGAUAAAAGCACCAACCAGUUUUAAAAAAGACUUUGUGGGCAUUUUGGUUGUACACUCCGUUUAACUCUAAGGCUGCUGAAAAUCAGCACGUGGUGGAUACAGCAUUUGUAAGACAGGCCCAAGGAGAUAUCCGGCAUACAUUGCAGAAGUUAGAAGCUCCGUAGGCGUGAAUGCUACUCAGCUUAUUAAGGUGGCUACCAAGGUGUACAUUAACUGAGAUCAAGAGGCAAAAAAGAAAGCUGAUCGGAGGCUUAAGAAAGGCUAAUUUACUAGCAGCAGCCCUUACAGGAAGAGAAGCUGGCUUUGCAAGGAGGCAGGGACGUGGGCGUGAACACAGUCGUGGAAAAGGCUAGUCUGGACAGGAGUUUGAAAGCCGGCCGAGGCUAGAGAGAGAUUAAUGCGGACAGUGCAAAAGGAAAGGACACUAGAAGGAUAAAUGUCAAAAGAAUAAGGAAAAUGGUCAAUGGUCUAACACCCGAGUGCAGCGUUCGGUUGCUAGUUGUCAUGCUUCAAAGGCAGAUCCUGAUCUGAUCGGCUUAGCGGGGGCUGAGAAUUUAGAGGACUGAUAGACCGGGCUCCAUCCUUUUAGGCCCCGGGGAGCCUAUAGUCUCUAUGGAAGUAGGGGGCCAAUUAAUGGAUUUUUUGGUCGAUACUGGUGCUGAUUUCUCUGUGGUAACUCACCAAUUAGUCCCCCCACAAAGAACUGUGCUACUAUCGUAGGGGCUACUGGCGCCAAAGAAAAGAGGCCUUUUUGCAAAUCCAGGAGAUGUAUUAUUGGGGGACAAAAAGUGCAGCAUGAGUUUCUAUAUAUGCCAAAUUAUCCAGUGCCCUUGUUGAAAAGAGACUUACUCCAGAAACUGCAGGCACAAAUCUCCUUUACACCUAAAGAGAAUAUGACACUAGAGUUUAGAAAGUUUAAGGCAAUGGUUUUGACUAUAACUGUCUCAAGAACUGAGAAAUGGCGGCUCUAUAAACUGUGUGCCAGAAGGCCACUGGAGGCGGACCUACACAAUAUGCGGGGAAUGCUUUUCAAGGUACCAGGUGUAUGGACCGAGCACAACCUCCCUGGACUUGCUGCAAACAGACCCCCGGUCGUAGUAGAGCUUAGCCCUUAUGUUCCCCGGUACAAGUCCGUCAAUACCCACUACCCAGAGAGGCAAUUGAUGGCAUAACGAAACAUUUAAAUCGGCUCUGUGAACAUAGGAUUAUACUGAAAUGCAAGUCCUCCUGGAAUACUCCUCUGCUGCCUGUGCAGAAGCCAAAUGGUGAAUACAGGCCAGUUUACAAAGUGUCCAAGGACAAGGCAAAAGUCUUUUUUCAGCAGGUUGGAUAGCUAAGAUUCAUGGUAUCCCAAGGCCAGUGCAGGCUUGGAAGUGCACGCAAGGAGGCUGUAGGUGCAUUGCCCACCCACAGGUCAGGGAAUUUCUAGGUGCGGCGGGAUUCUGCCGAAUCUGGAUUCCAAACUUCUCCCUUAUAGCAAAGCCCUUAUAUGAGGCUACCAAAGGAAAAGAAAGAGAGCCCCUCCUAUGGGAAAAGGAAUAGGAAAAGGCCUUCAAAGAUAUAAACGAAGCUCUCAUCCAAGCCCCGGCGCUAAGGUUGCCAGAUAUUAAAAAGCCCUUUUUUUGUAUGUGAAUAAACGAAAGGGAAUGGCAGUCGGAGUCGUAACUCAGCUGGGCUCUUAGCAUCGGCCGGUAACACACUUAUCCAAGAGACUGGACUUGGUGGCCUUAGGUUGGCCCCACUGCCUCAGGGCGUUGGCAGCUACUGCAAUCCUUCUAAAAGAUGCCAACAAGCUAGCCCUAGGUCAGAAGUUAAUAGUUCGGGUGCCACAUGCUGUAGUCACCUUAAUGGAGCAAAGAGGACAUCAUUGGCUGUCCAACUCUAGAAUGCUAAAGUAUCAAGGGCUUCUGUGUAAAAAUCCCCAGAUAACACUGGAGACUGUAAAUACCUUGAACCCAGUUCCCCUGCUGCCUGUGGAGGAACCCGACUGGAAGGACGGUAGGUUGCCUCGCUGCUGGCAGGACCUUCUCCACUGUUGCCUAAAUACGGUGGAUGAAGUGUUCUCGAGCCAGGAAGAUCUCAGAGAUAUCCUCCUUGGAGAGCCCAGAUGUUGAAUACUUCACUGAUGGUAGCAGUUUCAUAACAGAUGGGGUACGAUAUGCAGGGUAUGCCGUAGUGACCCAACACUCAGCAGUUGAGGCUCAAGCCUUACCUUCUGGGACUUCUGCUCAGAAGGCUGAAUUAAUAGCAUUAACCGGAUCACUGUUAUUGGACAAGGGGAAGAAAGUAAAUAUAUAUACUGAUUCAAGAUAUGCUUUUGCAACCCUGCAUGCCCAUGGGGCAACAUGCAAAGAGAGAGGACUUUUGACUACUAAAGGAAAAAAAAUUAAAAAAAAAAAUAAAGAGGAAAUUUUGCAAUUAUUAGAAGCCAUAUAGGCUCCAGAAAAGGUGGCUGUCAUUCAUUGCAAAGAACACUAAAUGGAAAAAAGCUAUGAAUCACAGGGCAACAGAAAGGCAGACCUAGAGGCUCUGCGGGCAUCAAUGAGCAAGGCUUUACCUGAAGAAAGACCUAUAGCAACGCCUCUCCUUAUAGAGCCCCCUUUGCCGGAGGUACCCAAUUACUCUUCAAGUGAAACAGCUUGGUUUGGUCAGGAAACAAAAAAAUAUAUUAAAGGUGGAUGGUGGCUCUGACAGGAGGCUAGCCAUCCCAGAGACAAUAGCCCCAAGGUUUGUGAAGCAGAUCCAUCAAGGAACACACAUUGGAAGGACAGCUCUAGAGACUUGGAUAGGUUGGCAUCUCUAUGUGCCAUGGCUGUCUGCCAUGACCCGUGCUGUUUGUGAACAAUGUCUAUCUUGUGCCCGGAGUAAUCCAAAACGAGGACCUACUCAACCUCCAGGAAUUCAGGAAGUAGGAGCUGUGCCUUGUGAGAACCUGCUUAUAGACUUUACCGAGUUGCCUUGAGCAGGAGGUUACCAGUAUAUGCUAGUGUUUGUUUGCACCUACUCGGGGUGGGUUGAGGCCUUCCCCACCGGAACUAAAAAGACACAAGAGGUGACAAAGGUGCUACUGAAAGACAUCAUACCAAGGUUUGGGUCGCCUCUAACCCUAGGAUCAGACGACGGUCCUGCAUUUGUGGCAGAAGUUGUACAACAGCUAACUCAACUUUUAAAGAUCAAAUGGAAACUGCACACAGCCUAUCGACCACAGAGUUCAGGGAAGGUGGAACGCAUGAACCAGACACUCAAACAGCUACUGAAGAAAUUGUGUCAAAAAAACUCAUCAAAAGUAGGAUCAGGUCUUGCCCAUGGUCCUCCUCCAAGUCAGGUGCACCUCCACCAAACAAACUGGGUAUUCGCCCUCUGAGAUUUUUUUCGGCCGGCCACCCACCCACCCAUCAUAAGACAGAUUAAAGGUAAUCUCUGUAAACUAGAAGAACUAACUUUAAGAAGGCAAAUGCAGACUUUAAGUAUGGCCAUGUAAGAAUGCAUGACUGGGUAUAGAAAAAUGCCUAUAAGUCUAACAGACCCAGUACACCCUUUCAAACCUAAGGAUUUUGUUUAAGCUAAAAUAAUGGAAUCCAACCAUUCUGGGACCCAUACAGGAUAGGUCUCGUAUUGUAAUCAUGUCUGCUUCCACUGCUGUUAAAGUUGCAGGUGUCACACCUUGGAUUCACCAUAGCCAGCAGAAACCAGUGGCAACAGAGACUCCCGAUGAUAACCAGUGGAUUAACCAACAAGACCCAGAUCGCCCCACCUGAAUAGUCCUACGGCGAAACCCAACCACCGGUAAGAAGGACAACUGGCCUGCUCUGACCACACCGGAGGAUGGUCAGUCUAUGCACGGCUGAAGCUUGAGGAUCCUGCAAGCUCUGCUCUAGUCACAUCCUGGAAGCUGACUAGUCUACGCACAGUCGAAGCUAAGAGGACCAUAUCCGGAUAAGUAAAUGUGGAUACAAUUUAUAAGCCUACUUACAAUUCUGUCAACACUGAUUGCUCUGCUGUUAUGUUAUCAUUGCAAAUGCUGCAAAUGUCUAUGCCCAGAGGAAGGUUUGCCAUGCCCAUGUAUAGUAUAGGCAUGUUUCUAUUACAUACACUGUUGUCGUUACCAUUUCUGCCUAUACUAGAAGGGGAGAAAUCUCUAGAAGGAUGUCCACACUGUGUACAUACUAUCUGGGUAAGGAAUAGCGUAGUUAAAACUCUACUGUACCAUACCUACUAUAAAUGUACAGGAACCAAGUUAGAAACCUACACAUACAACCAGAAACAGUCUGCAAUGGUUUAACACAAGAGAGGCUUAGCAAGAGCAGCCCUAAACACCUGUACGGAGAGCUACAAAUCGGAUGCCCAGACUGUAACAUUCGGUGGUCUACACUAACACAUCUCCAACACUUAUAUUCAGGAAGGAUUGCUCUGCUAAGUAGUAUGUCAACCAAACCAAAUUGUAAGGCAAGAACAUGCAAUCCUUUAAAUUUUACUAUCUUAAAGCCAGAGCUACCUUUUUGGUCUACAGGACAGACAGCACUAUUAUGAGUUGAUAGACAAGGAGUAGGCCUUGGAGUUCCACUACUAAUUGUCAAAAAGACUAGAAGGAUUCAAAUGUGUCCAACCCCACAAUUCCGGGUCCAUAAGUCAUUCUAUAAACAUUUUGAUCAGUCAGUGCCUGAGCUUUCCCAUCAACCAAAAAUUUACUUGCUCAACUAGCUAAAAACAUAUCUGGCAGCUUGGAAAUUUCCUUAUGCUAUGUAUGCGGAGAAACUAAUAUAGGGGACCAGUGGCCAUGAGAGGCAAAAAAAGUAAUGCCACAAGAUAACUUUACUUCGCCUAACCCUGCCAGUGAACCAACAGCCUCAACCAGUGUUUGGUUGUUUAAAACCUCCGUAAUUGAAAAGUACUGUAUCGCCUGAGUAAAAAAAAAAAAAAAAGCUUUCACAGAGGCAGUAGGAGAAACAACCUGCCUAGGGCAACAGUAUUAUGAUGAGACUAAAAACAAAACUCUAUGCAGAAACGCCCAGAACGACUCCUAUUUACCAGAUCCAAACCCUUUCUCUCGGUUCUCUACUCUAAGCCACUCUUGGCAUCAGCUAGAGGCUCCAGAUGCUUAGAAAGCACCCUUUGGCCUAUAUUGGAACUGUGGAGCACGGGUGUGUCGGCACAGGCAUAUCAGCUAAAUAGACAGAGGCGUGUGUGUUAGGAACAAUCAAGCCAUCCUUCUUUCUAAUUCCUCUAAAGCAAGGGGAACUCUUAGGAUAUCCAGUUUAUAAUGAAAAUUUAAAAAAAAACUAAAAAAAGCAUAAUCGCAAAAAUGACACAAAUGUCAAAAAAAUGUAGACAUAAAAGACUGGAAAGAUAAUAACGGCCGAGCUGUCAUAGAAAUCACAGCUAAAAUGCGCAAGUUAGCCCAUGUUCCAGUUCAGACUUGCUCCAGAUAAUCCCCGGAUUCCUUGUUUAGAGGAUGGUUCUCAACCUUUAAAAGAUUCAAAACCCUCAUUGGUGGGUUUUUGUUUAUUCUUGGAAUCUGCCUCAUCCUCCCUUGACUUUUACCCCUGUAAGUAGGAGUAUUUGUCAACUAUAGAGGCAGUGGUAACCCGACACACUGCCACGCAGUUGAUGGCAUUAACCAAAUAUCAGCCGCUGCCAGUAGAAGAAAGAGCUCAGCUCUGUGAAGAGGUGGCAAAUAGUGGUGCUUUCUAUUAACACCUUUGUUAUGAAAAGCACCAAAGGGGGGAAAUGGAACAGAAAUUAAAAGAAAUUAAAGAAUGUGUGAGCAAAAACUCAGUUAUAUGUUUAAAAAAAAAAAAACACCAAUUCCCCCUGAAGAAGAGAAAGAGCUGGAGUCCUUUAAAAUCAACUGCCUGUUUUUCUGUGGCUAGUGAGCCUUCUCUCUCCCUUUCCCAGGCAUUGUGAAGACUGUUUCUCUAGCUGUGCAGCUGUAAGGUCACUAGACAGAUAAUCUCAAGUCAUAAAACAUGUUGUUCCUUAAAAAGUAAAAAGUAAUAUAAUGCAUGUCUCAGUUAAAUAACUGUCUUUGCUUCUUGUUUCUAUAAUAGGCUUCCCCCUGCACAGAUCUCCCCUCGCCCCACAAAAUGCUUAAAAGGUAGCUUAACUCUGUUCAAGGCUGUGUCCUUUAAAUGUUAAUCUGACUGGUUUGGUGCAUCUAAAUAAUUAAAUAAUUCCUCCUCAACCCCUCGGUCUCUCUGAUUCUUUAAUUAUCCCACUGCAAUAUAGUCUAAAUAUUUUUCCCUAUCAGUAGGUGUAGCUAUACAUCAUCAUUUUUAAUGACCACAUGGUGUUCCUUUGUAUGGCUAUAUCCUAGUUUAUUUUUCUAGGUGCCUCUUUUUAG